rnacentral:rRNA from 1 species
ACGUAGGGGGCAAGCGUUGUCCGGAUUCAUUGGGCGUAAAGAGCACGUAGGCGGCCGAGCAAGUCUGUUGUGAAAUCCCCCGGCUUAACCGGGGAACUGCAGUAGAUACUACUCGGCUUGAGUGCAGGAGGGGAGAGUGGAAUUCCAGUUGGAGCGGUGAAAUGCGUAGAUAUCUGGAGGAACGCCGGCGGCGAAAGCGACUCUCUGGUCUGCAACUGACGCUGAGGUGCGAAAGCUAGGGGAGCAAACGGGA